rnacentral:rRNA from 1 species
AGAGUUUGAUCCUGGCUCAGAAUCAACGCUGGCGGCGUGCCUCAGACAUGCAAGUCGAACGAUUAAACUUCUCUUCGGAGAAGAUAUAAAGUGGCGCACGGGUGAGUAACACGUAGGUAAUGUACCUUUGGGUGGGGAAUAACUUAGGGAAACUUAAGCUAAUACCGCAUAAUGCAGCGGCACCGCAAGGUGACAGUUGUUAAAGGAGCAAUCCGCUUAAAGAGGAGCCUGCGGCAGAUUAGCUAGUUGGUAAGGUAAUGGCUUACCAAGGCUACGAUCUGUAACCGACCUGAGAGGGUGGUCGGUCACACUGACACUGAAUAACGGGUCAGACUCCUACGGGAGGCAGCAGUCGGGAAUUUUGGGCAAUGGGCGAAAGCCUGACCCAGCAACGCCGCGUGAAGGAUGAAGUAUUUCGGUAUGUAAACUUCGAAAGAAUGGGAAGAAUAAAUGACAGUACCAUUUAUAAGGUCCGGCUAACUACGUGCCAGCAGCCGCGGUAAUACGUAGGGACCAAGCGUUGUUCGGAUUUACUGGGCGUAAAGGGCGCGUAGGCGGCGUGUUAAGUCAGCUGUGAAAUCUCCGAGCUUAACUCGGAACGGUCAGCUGAUACUGAUGUGCUAGAGUGCAGAAGGGGCAAUCGGAAUUCUUGGUGUAGCGGUGAAAUGCGUAGAUAUCAAGAGGAACACCUGAGGUGAAGACGGGUUGCUGGGCUGACACUGACGCUGAGGCGCGAAAGCUAGGGUAGCAAACGGGAUUAGAUACCCCAGUAGUCC